GGCCGGGCAGGCACCGGCUGGAACGGGCACGGACCGGCAGGAACGGGCGGAUACAGAGCGCACACCGCCCCUGAGCAGGGUCGGGCAUGUCCCCGGUGCUCCUCAGCCGCUCAGGUACCCACCCGCCGGUCCCAGCGCCGCCUCACCUGGGCGCGGCUGCGGCGUGAGGCGAUUUCCGGUGGCGCCUCCGGGGCCUCACCUGAGGGCGUCACCUCAUCCCUCACCUCAUCCCUCACCUGGGCUCCUCCCGCCCCGAGCCAUCGCCCCGAGCGCCGGCUUCUCUCCAUGGAGACAGCAAAGGCCGUGGCUGAGCUCUGGAGCCUCGGCCCUGCUGCACGUUCAGAGCAGAAACAAAAUCCCGGCUGUGCCCUAAGUGGUGACACUGGACGUGUCUGUGGCCGAUCCCCGCCUUUCCAGCUCAGGGAUGUUGUGGAGCACAAGGUCAUCCCAACAUGGAUUUCCUCACCAAGGGAAUAACAUCUUCCUUCCAGUCAAGACCUUCCCACCUAACAAGGAUCAAGGAAUUUGCUCCAGAUUCAUUCCAGAGGCUGCAGCCUCAGCCACACAAACCUACCAGGGAAGCAAAGAAAACUCCUUCCAGCCCUGCAGAGCCACACCACACAC